ACAACGACUCUCGGCAACGGAUAUCUCGGCUCUCGCAUCGAUGAAGAACGUAGCGAAAUGCGAUACUUGGUGUGAAUUGCAGAAUCCCGUGAACCAUCGAAUCUUUGAACGCAAGUUGCGCCCGAAGCCAUCAGGUUGAGGGCACGUCUGCCUGGGCGUCACGC
rnacentral:rRNA from 1 species